UACAGAGGUCUCAAGCGUUGUUCGGAAUCACUGGGCGUAAAGGGUGCGUAGGCCGCACGGUAAGUCAGAGGUGAAAUCCCGGAGCUCAACUCCGGAAAUGCCUCCGAUACUGCCGUGCUCGAGGACUGGAGAGGAGUCUGGAAUUCACAGUGGAGCAGUGAAAUGCGUAGAUAUUGUGAGGAACACUAGUGGCGAAGGCGAGACUCUGGACAGUUCCUGACGCUGAGGCACGAAGGCCAGGGGAGCAAACGGG
rnacentral:rRNA from 1 species